rnacentral:lncRNA from 1 species
CUGUGGCUGGAGGUGGGAUUGAUGGACCUGGAUUCACUGAGGUUACUUCACCUGUGUUUGGGUGCCGACGUGUGCCGACCCACGCGUCGGCCACCCAAAGAUAGGUGAAGUUACGUCACUGAAUAUUUCUACGGGAUUGAUUAGUUUGGAUUUGAUCUUAAUUACGAUUUGAUAUUUUGAUUUGUUUCUAUUUUUUUUCUUUCUCUUGUGCCAUUUUUACAUCUUGGUACCGAAAACUGUUAAAAUUGGCAUGUACUAAAAAUAUCCUAGA